AAAGUCUUUCAGUCAUUCCAACAAGUUGACUUUGUACUCAGUCACUUUCCAUAGUUCAUUAGAUCCUAAUGCUGUCGAAAGCCUGAAACUUAUAUUUGAAGCCCAUAUACAGUGGAAUUAGACAAAUGUGCCGAGAUGAGGUAUUAUUGCUCAUUGACCAUAGGAUCUUUUCCGAAUCUUCAAUUUUGAUGGUGUAACCUGUGACAGCAUGUUUGUUAUUAUGACUGUUUCUACAUCCGUUUAGAAGGCAAUCCAGCUGAGAGUUUCAGUUUCAGUUACAUGAGGAGGAGUGUGAAGCGAAUAACCUGCCAUAUGUGAAUGUACCAGAUCUGCUUGAUGAGAGUCAAAUGCCUUACUGAAUGCAUCACCUGCAUCACCCAAAUGAUAAAG